GAUGAAGAACGCAGCGAAAUGCGAUAAGUAAUGUGAAUUGCAGAAUUCAGUGAAUCAUCGAAUCUUUGAACGCACAUUGCGCCCGCCAGUAUUCUGGCGGGCAUGCCUGUCCGAGCGUCAUUUCAACCCUCGAACCCCUCCGGGGGGUCGGCGUUGGGGAUCGGCCCUGCCUCUUGGCGGUGGCCGUCUCCGAAAUACAGUGGCGGUCUCGCCGCAGCCUCUCCUGCGCAGUAGUUUGCACACUCGCAUCGGGAGCGCGGCGCGUCCACAGCCGUUAAACACCCAACUUCUGAAAUGUUGACCUCGGAUCAGGUAGGAAUACCCGCUGAACUUGAGCAUAUCAAUAAGCGGAGGA
rnacentral:misc_RNA from 1 species